UACGGAGGGUGCAAGCGUUAAUCGGAAUUACUGGGCGUAAAGCGCACGCAGGUGGCUGAGUCAGUCGAUUGUGAAAGCCCUGGGCUUAACCUGGGAAUUGCAGUCGAUACUACUCAGCUAGAGUAUGGGAGAGGGUAGUGGAAUUCCCGGUGUAGCGGUGAAAUGCGUAGAUAUCUGGAGGAACACCGGUGGCGAAGGCGGCAUCCUGGACCGGUAUUGACACUGAGGCGCGAAAGCCAGGGGAGCAAACGGG
rnacentral:rRNA from 1 species